rnacentral:rRNA from 1 species
AUGCCAACCACUUCCGACAAGGAACUUCUGCAAGCACACGCCGAGCUUUGGAACCUCACUUUUAGCUACCUAAAAUCCAUGGCGCUCGAGUGUGCCAUCAAUCUAGGGGUUCCCACCGCCAUCCACCGAUGUGGCGGCACUGCCUCAUUGCCAGACCUACUUGCCACCCUUCCCAUACCUGAGAGCAAGAAGUCCUACCUCCCUCGCCUCAUGAGGUUCCUCGUCGCCUCAGGUAUCUUUACGGUUGAUGUCCCCGCAAUAGGGGAGUGCGCUAAGGUGGGUGCAACUAGUACCUACUGUCUCACACCGUUAUCUUAUCUCCUCGUGGAUGGAGACGACACCGACGCCCACCAGCGCACAAGCCUCUCGCCGUUUGUGCUCUCGCAGACCAACAAGUACCAUGUAACAGCGGCCAUGCACUUCUCUGAGUGGUUCACGAGCGACGAAGGCUCAGCCUCGGCUGAGAUGCCAUACAUGAUGGCAAAUGGCACAAAUCCAUGGGCAAUCAUGGCUCGUGAUCCAAAGCUAAAUCAGGUCUUCAACGCUGGCAUGGCGGCUGAUACCCAAUUUGCAAUGAACUUCAUCAUCAGCAAUUGUGGCGAGGUGUUCGAGGGGGUUACCUCGAUAGUUGACGUUGCCGGUGGGACGGGUACGGCGGCGAGGGCAAUUGCCAAGGCCUUCCCAGACAUUAAGUGCUUAGUUCUAGACCUCCCUAACGUUAUCAAUUCCAUCUCAUCCGACGGAACAGUGGAGUACAUUGUAGGUGACAUGAUGAGUUCCAUCCCAAGGACUGAUGCGGUGUUCCUCAAGUAUGUGUUGCAUGACUGGAACGAUGAGGAUUGUGUGAAAAUCCUAACACAGUGCAAGAAGGCGAUCCCCAAACCAGGGGGAAAAGUGAUAAUUGUGGAUAUGGUAGUCGGGUGUCCUUCCAAAUCCAUGUUCAAAGCCCAAGUCUUGUUCGAUUUGCUGAUGAUGGUGAUGACAUCAGGCAAGGAGCGUGAAGAGCAUGAGUGGGGCAAGAUAUUCAUGGAUGCAGGGUUCAACGACUACAAGACAAGGCCUGUUAUGGGGUGUAUGGCCGUCACCGAGCUGUAUCCUUAG